rnacentral:pre_miRNA from 1 species
AGUAGAAAUUGCUGGGUUGUAUGGUAACCAUAUAUUUAACUUUUUAAGGAGCUGUCAAACUGUUUUCCAUAGCAGCCACACUGUUUUACAUUUCCAUCAGCAAU